rnacentral:misc_RNA from 1 species
GACACGUGAGCGGUGAUAGAUUCGCAUGCCACGGCGGGCUCCCUGCCACUGUGCAGCCAACCGCCGUCGCUGCAGCCCCUUCACUCGUGCUCCAACCACUCGGAGCCUCCCGCGUUGCCUGUGCGACAUACCCGGUUCUCGGGCAAACGACUUCGUCCAACACGCUCGUCCGCUCCCCUCGCCUUUGUGCGGGCGCGAAGCGGCAACAUCGGCGGUCCUCGUGUUCCCUCGGACGACGUCACGGCUUCGCCCCCUCGUCUCGUCCCGAUCGGCCCUCGGGGAUUCGCCAGCCCUCGCGGACACGGCAGACAAUGUUGGCUCGGGGCCUUCGUAGCCCUCGCACCACGAUCGGUCGGCUCACUUCGCCGCCCUCAACGAGACGACCGUCGGGCCCGUCGUCCCCCCACCCCUCGCCUAACGGCGUCGGGCGGGCACA